rnacentral:rRNA from 1 species
UACGAAGGGGGCUAGCGUUGCUCGGAAUCACUGGGCGUAAAGCGCACGUAGGCGGACUCUUAAGUCAGGGGUGAAAUCCUGGAGCUCAACUCCAGAACUGCCUUUGAUACUGGGAGUCUUGAGUCCGGAAGAGGUAAGUGGAACUGCGAGUGUAGAGGUGAAAUUCGUAGAUAUUCGCAAGAACACCAGUGGCGAAGGCGGCUCACUGGCCCGGUACUGACGCUGAGGUGCGAAAGCGUGGGGAGCAAACAGG